ensembl:lncRNA
GACGGUUUCUCGAGUUCACGCGGGAAUUUAUGAUGGAGUUAUACUAAAAUAGCGGGUUUCGAUUUAGGGUUAAAAGAAGGUAGGCUUAUGUAUAGUUAACAUCACUUGAAGAGACGUUUAAGUGUACUACAACGCUAAUUUGACAAGAGUCUAUCAAGUGACAGGCUUAUCUAAUUAUGGAUUUGGUGCCUUUCCAGACUCCAUAGUGACCUCAAACUGUGCAAUAUCCGCCUUCACUGUCUCUCAGGAUGGUCUUCACCUGGCCUGUGGGCCAGAGAUUAUAGGCAGAGAGAUGGGGCGAAGAGAUGACAUUAUACCGAGGGAGAAUUUCAGUCCAUUCAUCUCUGCACCACGACUGCUGAUGGGACUCUGGCGCAAGAGCCUGCUUGCGGCGAUGCAGUGAGAAUGCAUUUAACACCAUUCAAGAUCCAAGAGUCUGAGACAAGAGUGCAGUGUUUUAAUCAUUAAUGUGGAAAUCAUUCAUCUGUUCUGUGAGUUAUUACUCCUCGUAGGUAGUUCAUCUCAGUGCCCUGAUCGUUUCUUUUUCCUUGAAAACAGACUCUAGUUCCAAUUAAAACUGAGCCCCAAAUAUAAUGAUAAAUUAUUGAAUUUGAUUUACCUUUGUACUUAAGCCAAAACAUUUUUAAAUAUUAAAAUGUUUUAAAAUAUUUUAAAUGUUAUUGGGAAAGUAUUUAUUUUUGCAUUUACUUUACAUUUUCUACCCAAUAUACUAUUGUUUCUUUCUGCCUAGCAGUACAGAAACCAUUUCAGUUCAGUUCAUUGUAUUUGUAUAACACUUUUCUCAAUAAAUAUCAUUCCAAAGCAAUAUGUUGUCA